rnacentral:rRNA from 1 species
UACGGAGGGUGCGAGCGUUGUCCGGAAUCAUUGGGCGUAAAGGGCGCGUAGGUGGCCCGGUCAGUUCGUGGUGAAAGCGCGGGGCUCAACCCUGCGUCGGCCAUGAAUACUGCCGCGGCUGGAGCACUGUAGAGGCAGGCGGAAUUCCGGGUGUAGCGGUGGAAUGCGUAGAGAUCCGGAAGAACACCGGUGGCGAAGGCGGCCUGACUGGGCAGUUACUGGACACUGAGGCGCGACAGCGUGGGGAGCAACAGGGAU